rnacentral:misc_RNA from 1 species
CCCCAAUAUCAGCGCAUCCCGUUUCGCGGGGCGGGUGUUGGGGUUAGAGCCACCGAGUAGUGGCCGCAGGCUUGAGGAGAGCCGCCGAGUGGUGGUUCAGGAGGGAAAAUCUGCCAAGCUCUCAAAGGUCAGGCAAGCGAGAGGUUUACCGAGUCGGAAAGUCGGGCGAGUAAAAAGAUAUACCAAGUCCAAAAUACUGCCGGCAACAUACCCGGGACCCCGAGUAAGUCGGGGAAGAAGUUGGCGGGUGUUUUUCCAGCCAACUCAACUUUGACCAAUUUUACCUGCCCGAGCUCACGGGUAGGCUGCGGUUAAUUUUUGGACUUUGCGGAUUUACUUGAAUCAAUUCACAGGAAGUUACCUGCCAAAUUGCCUGGGCUCCCGGGUAGGCUAUAGUUGACUUUUGGACUUGGCGGAUUUUUUUAAACUUACUUCCCCGACUAUAACCUGGGAUUUUCCCGACCAUGGCUCACGGGUAGGUUAGUUGUGAUUUUUGGACUUGGUGAAAUUUCUACUUUCCUGCCAAGUCUAGCCUACCUGGGAGCCCAGGCAAGUCGGGCAGGUAAAUUCCGCCAACUCGGCAGGGAACUGAUUGCAAAUUAAUCUAACCAAAUCUGCCAAGUCCACAAGUUAACUAUAGCCUACCCGGUAGACCUGGGUGUUUCCCGCGUGAUUUCCUGUGAAAACAAAAAAGUUAGGUGUUUUAGUACUUAAUUUAUGUAGGUAUGGGUUGAUUUUUUUGUUUUCUUAUAUAAAUAAAAUUUGCGGAAAAUAAAAAAUAAACCACGAGAGCCCGGUAGCGGAGGCGAGCCCUUAAGGUAGUCGGUAAGUAUAUAAGAGAGAGGGCUGGACACGCGUCGCGUCGCGUAUUUCCACCGCACCUAAUACUUUUGGCUUUAGGGUAGGCUGCUUGUUUAGAGGCGCGCUGAAUUAGAUGGUCUCUUAAGUGAGGGGAUUUCUCUGGUGGCAGUUGCCUGUAAUCCGGGAGCCCGUGGUGGUAAAGUCAGCUAUAAGGCUUGUGUGUGUGUGGGUGCGCGGGUGUGUGUGCCGGGGCCCUGUAAGUCCCGACCAGGAACCCUACAGGUCACGUGCCGACACAGUAAGACAGAUAAGAUAUACGGCAGGUGUUAGUACACGUGCCAAUACAAGUGACGAUAAGAUCGAUAAGAUACCUGCACGUGCCCAGUCACGGAGACUUACACGUGUCCCGCUGCCAAGGUCCCCGAGGUUGCCGACCUCGCCGACUACUCCUGGUGUAAUGUGCCGGUGCAUCACCGUCGCGUGCACGCGGCUGCCGUCGGCCGUGGUGGAGGGUUACCCGGGACCACGGUGCAUUUUUCCGUUUUUUCCAUUUUUUCAAAAUCGACGACCAAAAGGUUGGUAGGUCUGGGUUGCCUUGCUGGCCAAUAGAGAUUUGUACGGCGCUACUAUAGGGUAGGUACAGGGUAGGCUGUGCCGGUACUUGCGGUCGCACACAAAUCCCUAGCAGCCUGAAGUACCCCCGCGCGCGGGCAACUUCAAACCGCGAUAGCUGCUCCCAGCGGCAUUGCAGACAACUAUGAGGGCCACCAUUCGAUUCGUCUCGCCGAGCUGCAUCGAUUGAGCCCGGGUUGCCAAAAAGUCGGGUGUUUUGGUAUUUGAUUUGUAUGGGCGUGAGUCGAUUUUUUUGUUUUCCUAUACAAAUGAAUUUUGCGGAAAAUAAAAAAUGGACCACGAGCGCCCGGUGGCGGAGGUGGACCCUCGAGGUGGUCGGUGGGUAUGUGAGAAGGGGGCGUCGAAAGAUGCCGGGACAGCUGGGUCUUCGCUGAAAGGCAGGAUUUCCGGUGAGUCACCGCCCUCUCUGUACCAUAUCUUGCCGAGCCCCAGUGCUUGAGUGGCCUCCUGAACACGCCUGUAGAAGGUUUCUUUUACAGGCUGGGAGGUCACACUGGGGAUUCAAACUCCACGAAGUCGGCGGCUACGGCCGUGCGGCGUACUGGUUAUACCUCGUGGCAGUGGGAGGCACCCGCCUCUUACCGCUCAGGAGAUGGGUUCUGUGGGCUGCUGGCCGCUGGCCAACAUGCCGUAAAUCAGAAUAACGGGAGGCAACCACGGGUAGCUGACGCCGAAAUGGCAGAGGCUGCACGGAGCGUCCUCCUCUUAGGGCACCUAUACCGCACUCUACGGUGCGUGUGGACGGCUGCGCCUAGGGAAUUGAGAGGGGGAAAGCGGAUUUGCCGCUGGGCGGUCUCUCCCGGUCAAACGGGCAGGGCACCUCCCGGCGCGCAGCACCCUUUCGAGUGGGGGAAAGGUGUGCCGACCAGUAACUUGGACUAUUCUCUCCGGCGCCCUUAACAGGGCGUCGGUAGGCCAACCCCGGCGAACGAUAGU